rnacentral:rRNA from 1 species
ACGCUCGACACCUACGGGAGGCAGCAGGUGGGGAAUAUUGCACAAUGGGGGAAACCCUGAUGCAGCGACGCCGCGUGAGCGAAGAAGUAUUUCGGUAUGUAAAGCUCUAUCAGCAGGGAAGAAACUGACGGUACCUGACUAAGAAGCACCGGCUAAAUACGUGCCAGUAGCCGCGGUAAUCUGAGCGGGCUGGCAAGGC